rnacentral:rRNA from 1 species
GACGAACGCUGGCGGCGUGCCUAAUACAUGCAAGUCGAGCGGACUAUCGGGAGCUUGCUCCUGAUAGUUAGCGGCGGACGGGUGAGUAACACGUGGGCAACCUGCCCUGCAGAUGGGGAUAACUCCGGGAAACCGGGGCUAAUACCGAAUAAUCAAUACUUCCGCAUGGAAGUAUUCUAAAAGACGGUUUCGGCUGUCACUGCAGGAUGGGCCCGCGGCGCAUUAGCUUGUUGGUGGGGUAAUGGCCUACCAAGGCGACGAUGCGUAGCCGACCUGAGAGGGUGAUCGGCCACACUGGGACUGAGACACGGCCCAGACUCCUACGGGAGGCAGCAGUAGGGAAUCUUCCGCAAUGGACGAAAGUCUGACGGAGCAACGCCGCGUGAGCGAAGAAGGUUUUCGGAUCGUAAAGCUCUGUUGUAAGGGAAGAACAAGUACCAUUUAACUGAUGGUACCUUGACGGUACCUUACGAGAAAGCCACGGCUAACUACGUGCCAGCAGCCGCAG